GUUGAGGUCUAUCCUGAGGGGGCUUUUUCUGUAGACCUACAUCAUUGGAAACGCCUCCUAGAGGAUAUGUGUGGUUUCCUUUACUCACAGAACUAUGUGUUAGAUCUGUGGGAAAGAACUACAAGACAUCU
ensembl:snoRNA small nucleolar RNA SNORA18